rnacentral:rRNA from 1 species
UACGUAGGGUGCGAGCGUUGUCCGGAAUUAUUGGGCGUAAAGAGCUCGUAGGCGGUCUGUCGCGUCGGUCGUGAAAACUUGGGGCUUAACCCUGAGCUUGCGGUCGAUACGGGCAUGACUGGAGUUCGGUAGGGGAGACUGGAAUUCCUGGUGUAGCGGUGAAAUGCGCAGAUAUCAGGAGGAACACCGGUGGCGAAGGCGGUUCUCUGGGCCUUACCUGACGCUGAGGAGCGAAAGCGUGGGGAGCGAACAGG